rnacentral:rRNA from 1 species
CUACGGGUCGCAGCAGUGAGGAAUAUUGCGCAAUGGGGGAAACCCUGACGCAGCGACGCCGCGUGGAUGAUGAAGGCCUUAGGGUCGUAAAAUCCUGUCAGGUGGGAAGAAGUGGAUAUAGAUUAAUACUCUAUUUCUUUGACGGUACCACCAAAGGAAGCACCGGCUAACUCCGUGCCAGCAGCCGCGGUAAUACGGAGGGUGCAUACGUUGUUCGGAAUUACUGGGCGUAAAGCGCGCGUAGGCGGUUUGUUAAGUCAGAUGUGAAAGUCCAUGGCUCAACUAUGGAGGUGCAUUUGAAACUGGCAGACUUGAGUACUGGAGGGGGUGAUGGAAUUCCCGGUGUAGAGGUGAAAUUCGUAGAUAUCGGGAGGAAUACCGGUGGCGAAGGCGAUCACCUGGCCAGAUACUGACGCUGAGGUGCGAAAGCGUGGGGAGCAAACAGGAUUAGAUACCCUUGUAGUC